CAGGUGCCCCUUGGAAACUCCAUGGGGCCAUUCUACUCUGACCUAUAGGGUUGCUAUGAGUCAGAAUCGACUUGAUAGCAAUAGGUUUGGUUUUUGGUUUGGUGCUAUCUACGCUGGGCGCAGGGGAACCAGGUGAGGCUGGCUCAGACCUUUUAUAUACAUACUCUCAGGUCUUGCCACCUCUCUAGACUUCACACUGGAAAUGAGUCACUGCUCUACUCUCCUCCCCAGAUCAUACAACUCGUUGGGUAUUUGUCACCCCACUCCCACCUCAGGGCAGAUGCAAGGCCCUUUUCAUGGGUACUCACCACAUCUAAGCUCUCACUACUUCCUCUCUCACUAUGCCCCUUGGGGGCCCCAUAUCCACCAGACAGGAAAACUUUUUUCUGGUUCUGGGGGCAGGAAGUUUAGCUUUACCUCAACAGAUAUUUCCACCAGCAGAUUGUAUCUGCCUCAGUCUUUUCCAUCAUUCCCCUAAAAAAAAAAAGUUGCCAUAGAGUAGACCCCAACUCAUGGUGACCCCAUGUGUAUUUUAAAUGGCUGUGAUCUUUUGGAAUUAGAUCACCAGGCCUUUCUCCUGAGGCACCUCUGAACGGACUUUAACCUCCAACCUUUCAGUUAGCAGACAAGUUCAUUACCUGUUUUGACCCCCUCAGGGACUCCUCUAUUCCCUUAUGUUGCCUAAAUCUUUUGAGACUAAAAACCUAAGAUUGUCUCCUUCUCCUUCUCUCUUUCCUCUUCCUUCUCCUUCUUUUUUCCUACUUUCUGCCAAGAAUCGUUUCACUGAGGCAAUAAAUGCAAAAUGGAUAGUUGAGUGCAUGGAUAAGUCUGGGUGGAAAAGAAAAUACGGCUGAGAAAAUAUAUCAGUGUUUCAAAACCUUAUCCUGCCAUAUUUAGUUACUGUUAUAACUGGUGAAAUUCCACCAAACAGACCAUGUGGCUUCGCAAAGGAUCCUUCAGUAGCCAAACGGGUUCUUACGAGGUCUGGCCCAUAAAGAAGCUAGAAUGGGCAAAUCUACCCAUCUCUUCCUCUUUCUGCUGUGGGCUGCCCAAGUGCCCAACUACUGGCCAGUCUGUGGCCUCCGGAGUUCAGACAACUGACUACUCAUCAGGAACACCAACCAUCUAAGAUCAAUGUUCUAGAUUGCUGCUUUUCAUAUUUUUAUCUUGUUAAAAAUACCACAAUGACUCGAUCCUUUCCAGUUCUUCAUUAGAUAGCCCUAUGAUUGUACACACAGUAGUGCCAUACAGUCGGGCCCAAAUAAGAGGCAAAUUUAUUAAAAAUUGUUAAAUCUCUUAUUUUGUAGAGUUGGCAAGGUUUUAGCUCAGGUCAUCCACAGUUACCUCUUCUCCUGUUUCAUCAAGAGAAGUGAAAGUUUGAUUGUUUUCGUUUUUGAAGAGCAAAAUACACAUGCUGUUUAAUAUGGACUAGAAAAUUUCCUUCUUCUAAAAGCAGAAGUAUAAUCUAUUUAGGUAAAAUAAGACAUUGUGAAAGUCAUGAAAUAUCCAUGUAUUGAAACCACAGAUAAGCGGAUGUGCAAAACCAAGCAAAAAUGAGAAUUUUGGAUUAGAGUCACAAGUCUGCUGGAACCAUGACUUUCAUCUUGGUGUUAUUUUAAAGGUUUAAGGGUUUUAUUACUCAUUUUUAACAUUGUACUUGAAUUUUUUUUCAGUAAAAAAAAAAUCAAGUAUUCUGAACUUCUAAUUUACCGUAUGCUACACUGUUUUGCAAACUGUCAUUUCAUAAAUACCGUGUAUUACUUUUAUUAGUCUCAAUGAAAUUUCUCCAAAGGAAGUCUAGACAACUUUUACAUCCUGACACAUCAUUAUUAACCCCACUAUUUAAAGAUUAAAAGUCUUGGUUAUGUUGCAAAAUUAUCUUUUCUAUCUCUGAAUAGGAAAAAAAAUCAUGAACAGCAACCCUUAAUAUCCUUUUGCAAAAACAGGCACAGGUUUCCCUGGAUGCAGUUUUUAAAAUUGAAUUAAAGUUUUCAUCCAAAAUCAAUUCCUUCCUUAUAAAAUAAUAUUAUUACCUUCAUUUCUGAUGAAAGUUCAAGAGGGCAAGAUUCAAAAGCAGUGUUGCUGACUUUUUUUCAUAUCUCAAGAGUAGAAAGUUCUAGGAGCUAAUUUCACUUCAUACUAAACCACUGAUAAAUUUGGCAGUAACUUGCAUAAAGUACUAUGUGAGUUUUCCUAACAGUCUACAUAUUUUUCAAACAAAUUUUCACAUUUCACAAAAUUAUUUACUUGGUUGGCCAGUUAGUUGAACUGGUUUUAGCAAUCUCUGUCUUCUAUUCCAAGCUGAGAAUCUAAGAGAAAAUGGUUCUCCAGCCAAAUCCUAUACAUGUAAUCUCAUUGUUGUUAUUGUCGUUAGGUGCCAUGGAGUCAGUUCCAACUCAUAGCGACCCUGUGUACAACAGAGCAAAACACUGCUCUGUCCUGCGCCGUCCUCCUAAUCGUUAUUAUGCUCGAGCUCAUUGUUGCAGCCACUGUGUCAACCCCUUCUCACUGAGGGUCUUCCUCUUUUUCACUGGCCCUCUACUUUACCAAGAUGUCCUUCUCCAGAGACUGGCCCCUCCUGAUAACAUGUCCAAAGUAUCUGAGAUGAAGUCUCACCUUCCUUGCUUCUAAUGAGCAUUCUGACUGUACUUCUUCCAAGACAGAUUUGUUUGUUCUUCUGGCAGGCCAUGGUAUAGUCAAUAUUCUUCACCAACACCAUAAUUCAAAGGCAUCAAUUCUUCUUCAGUCCUCCUUAUUCGCUGUCCAGCUUUUGCAUGCAUAUGAGGCGACUGAAAACAUCAUGGCUUGGGUCAGGGGCAUCUCAGUCCUUAAAGUGACAUCUUUGCUUUUUAACACUUUAAAGAGUGUUAAACACUUUAAACAGCGUUGUACCACACUAUGACAAACUGAAAAAAAAAAAAAAAUUUUUUUUUGCAUGUGGUAUAUUCCAUUAAAAACUCUUAAAAACUAAAUAAAUAAAUAAAAGACUUUACAAAGUCCCAAAGUUUACUCACUUAGCUCCAUCCAUCAUUGCCACGAAAUUACGCAACACCCACCAACCCUCCUAAAAACGCUUCUGCACAUUCUCUGUCUACUGUUUUGCUCCCAGAGAUGUAGUCUCCCUCAGUGUGUCUACAGUAUUCUCUCCUAUUUCAAACAUUCGAACAACUGAUUCGACCUCCUUUGUCCCUCUCUCAGAGUGUGUAUCCAUUUUUGCCACUGUACCGUGAUUAUUUUUGAACAUGUCUUUCUUCUUCACUAGAUGAUAAACUCCUUAAGGGCAACACACAGGCCCCUAGGGGGCACAACCCGUUUGUUCUUAGCUGCUAACUGAAAGCUUGGUGGUUCAGAUCCAUCCAGUGAUGCUCCAAAAGGAAGCCCUGGUGAUCUGCUUCCACAGAUGACAGCCAAGAAAACCCUACGGGGCACAGCUCUAUUCUGAACUACAUGGAGUUGCCACAAGUCAGAGCCAACGCUGUGGCAAGGAAUUUGGUUUUUGGUUUAUUCACCUCCCAACGCAGAGCUUUAAGAAUAUAGCACAUGUAUGUGUUGACAGAAUGAAUGAGUUAAUGAAUGAAUAAAAUUCUAGUAGAUAUUCUAUCAAGUAAAGCAUAUAUAAUCUCAUUAUAUAAUUGUGAUUAAGACGCAAAGAGAAAAGCAAGUUAUAAAAACAAUUCUACAAUAAAUAAUAAAUGAAAUCAUCUUUUAAAGUAUGCCACUUCUUUUGUUCAAACUGGGACAACCUACCUCUGUCUCGUUAAGAGGCUGCUUCCUCAUUGGUUUAUGAUGAAAUACGAGCGCAAUUUCCCGUCGCCUCAACAGCGUUGGUUUCUCUUCUUGAGACAGAGAGAUUUGUCAGCUCCUCGGUCAACAAAACCAUCCUCCCAAGAAACACAGGAGCUCCUUAUUGGAUGAACCACUAGGAAGCCAGAGGCAGGAAGCCCAUUGUGAUGGUUAAGAUUGUGUGUCAACUUGGCUAGGCCAUGAUUCUUAUUGUUUUGGCAGUUGUAUAAAGUUACGAUCACUGCCCUGUCGAAAUUUGAUGUGAUCACCCCCAUGAUGGAAUCUGCUGAGUGGUACCGGCAGGGAUGGGGCCUGUGGCGACUCACUGCCACCUCAGCCUUCAUCUCUCUGCCUUCCAUCACCUACUUCCUUCCUGCUCACUUUGCAAACGUUGUCGGCUUGUCCUGGAUCCAGUAGCUGUCUCUUGUCUGACCUCUGGCUCUUAGGACUUGAGCUAGCAACUUACCUGUCCAUCUUGGGAUUUGCCAAUCUUCAUGGUCUGCAAGCAAGAGUCCUGCUACCCAACCUGCCUAUCUUUGGUUCACCAGCCCCUGCAGCUAAGUGACUCAGGAGAAACCUUGCGGCCUUGCCUGCCGACCUUGGGGAUUUCUUGACCAUCACAACCUGUGAGCAGGAUCCCUGCUCUCCAACCUACUCAUCUUGGCUUCACCAGCUUCUGCGGCUCCGUGAAUUGGGAAAAGACUCCAUCCUGAUUCAAGAACUUGGGAUGUUUCAACCCUUACAAUCGCGUGAGCAGUUCCUUUAAUAUAAAUCUAUAUAUAUUUAUACGCAUUACUAGAGAACCCAGCCUAAGACACCCAUUGACGCAGUUCAUGAGGUCAGCUCCCAGAGCACAAAGUUGGAUGGAGAAGGAUGAAGAGUGGGUUCCGAGGAGCAAACAGGUACUCAUUUUCCCAGUUACACUUGCACUCCAUUCAUGUGUCAAAUCAGGGAAAUAUCUGUGAGAUGCCUGAGUAUGUGGCUGUUAUCUAUAGUCACAGACUGGAGCAUUGAUUGCUAAACACUUAUGUUUAAAAUGGCCUUGUAGACACUGAAAUUUUUGGGAUUGUGAGCAUAUAUGACUCGCGAGUCAGUGUGGUCCAUUGUGGAUGCUUCUUGGUUAUGAGGCAUAGGACAUGGUCUAGUUUUUGUUCUUUUAUUUAGCUACACAAAAAAAAUAAAAUGAUUUCUAGAAACUAAAGUCCCUCAUCUUUAAUAUGAGCAUCAUAUUACCUUCCCUGCCCACCUAAUGGUAUCUGUUAAGUGGUACGCAUAAAGGAUUGGAUAUAAAUUGUUUUGAGGAUGAUGAAGUACGGAUUGCAUAUUGACCAUUUCAACUUUAAUAUGUUAGCAUAAGAAAUGUGUUCAUAUAUUUUACUUAUGGGUAUGCAGUUUUGUAAUUCGUACAUCAGGGAAAGUUCUAAAGCCCAUUUGACUUAUUCCAUACAUGACAAUUUUUUUUUUUUACCAUGUGAUAAUGGAAACGAAUUAAUGCUAAAUUAACCUCCAGUUUACUCCAGGCUUACAUUAAGGAUAUGUAGGAUUAGCUAUGAUGAUGUUUAUUUCUAGAAAAAAAUUAGUCAAGUUUUUCACCUGACAAGUGAGUCACGGUGUUUAUUACCUGUUUAUGAUUAGGCAAAAGAAAAAAAAAAAAAACAUUCCUGUGUGUCCCAUUGGAUUACAAAAGUCCUUUAAAGGCAGUUUAUUAGCCAUGGAUCUCUCUGCUAUGUCUCCCCUGCAGUUCGUUGAGAAUGUUUUCCAGAACAUAACUAGGCUUAUCGCAAUUUAUUUCUGCAUUGCUGGCUCCGAGGAUAUUGCCUAGUGUUCCAGAUCCCAACUGGAAGCUGUUCUUCAAUAAAAACUACUUUGGAGAAAAUGGCCACACUCCUCCCACUUCUUCCCAUUCCCUCUUACUCCUCUACUCAUCUAUCCUGAUAUUCUGGCUCCUAAAGCUCUUUGACCAGAUUGCCUUAUUGUUCCAGGUGUCUAGGAGCUCAUCAGUGAUAGCUCCCGUAAGUGUGGGCUAUGUGCUAGGAACUCUACAUACCAGAUUUUAUUUAAUUUCCCCAACAAUCUGAUGUGCUAGAUAUUAUCCCUACCGUACAUGAAGAGACUGAAGCUUAGAGAGGGUAAAAACAGAACAAGAAAUUGAACGCAAGUGUCUGAAUCCAAAACCUAUGACCUUAGCCACCAUUACUAUAUAGCCUACCUGUUUCCAUGAUGUUCUAGCAGGUUCUGUAUUUAUUUUUUUAUUUCUUUUAGUAAAAUCUGAAUGAUCACUAUUGAGAAAGAGAUGUUAAUUAGGUCAAGAUGCAAAGGGGUUUUGCUCCAAGGAUGUCAGGAAAUCUUUGUGUGCACAUAUUAUUGCAAUGAUAUUAAAGAUUCUUUCCUGAAGAAGGGGCUAUUAUCAUUCCAGAACACCAUUAUCAAUUUGCUACUCUUUAUGAGUCCCUAUAAAGUUCUAAAUUGUAAUUAUUAUGAUAUCACAUAAAAUUCAAGGCUACCAGGGAGAUAAAUGUUCAAGAGGAGGUGUGCUCAGCAUUGUGAUACACUAUUGUCACAAAAAUACAACACAUUUUUUUUAAAUAUAAAGAAUGUAGAAUGAGGUUGUUAAAUGGCUAAAAAUCUACAUACGGAAUUUAAACUAUUUUUCCUAAAUAGUGAAUGCAAGAGAUUAAGUCUAAUGAUAUAAGUUACCCCUGGUAAAGUUCUCAGUCAAUUUUAUGCUGUUUAUAUUCCAUUUAAUCUUCCUUCUUAAGCCCACGGGAAAAGUGUAUGUGAAAAAAGUGCACAGCCACUUUUUAAAAUUAAAUUAUGAAGGAUAGUGAAAAUUUUAAUAGAAAGAAUAGAAAAACACUUGAUUCAUUUAUUUAUUCUUUCAGUGAAUAUUUGUAAAUUUUGCUAGGUGCUAGUGGUAUUGGGGAUAGUGGUAUUGGAAGGAGCCCUGUAGCACAAAGGUUAAGUGCUCAGCUACUAACCAAAAGGUUGGUAGUUCAAAUCCACUCAGUGGCUUUUCAGGAGAAAGACCUGGAGAUCUACAGCCUAGAAAGCCCUAUGGGGCAGUUCUACUCUGUCAUAUGGGGUCCCUAUGAGUGAAAAUAGAUUCCACCUAUGGUACAUCAACACCAUAUUUCAAAUGCACCAAUUCUUCUUCUGUCUUCCUUAUUCAUUGUCCAGCUUUCACAUGCAUAUGAGGCCAUUGAAAAUACCAUGGCUUGGGUCAGGCUUACCUUAGUCCUCAGAGUGACAUCUUUGCUUUUGAACACUUUAAAUAGGUCUUUUGCUGCAGAUUUGCCCAAUGCAAUGCAUCUCUUGAUUUCUUGACUGCUGCUUCCGUGGGUAUUGACUGUGAAUCCAGGAAAAAUGAAAUCCUUGACAGCUGCAAUCUUUUCUCCAUUUUUCAUGAUGUUGCUUAUUGGUCCAGUUGUGAGGAUUUUUGUUUUCUUUAUAUUGAGGUGUAAUCCAUACUGAAGGCUGUGGUCUAAUGAUCUUCAUCAGUAAGUGCUUCAAACCCUCUUCUCUUUCAGCAAGCAAGGUUGUGUCAUCUGCAUAUCAAGGUUUGUUAAUGAGUCUUCCUCCAAUCCUGAUGCCCCAUUCUUCUUCAUGUAUAUAGCCCAGCUUCUCAGAUUACUUGCUCAGCAUACAGAUUGGAUAAGUGUGGUGAUGCACACCUUUCCUGAUUUUAAACCAUGCAGUAUCCUCUUGUUCUGUUCCAAAAACUGCCUCUUAGCCAAUGUACUGAUUCGGCAUGAGCAUAAUUAAGUGUUCUGGAAUUAAGUGAGAAAAAUGAGAAUUCCAGAACACUGUAAAGAUUACACCCAAGAAAACUUUAUGGAGCAGUUCUACUCUAUAACACAUGGGAUCACUACGAGUGGAACUGACUAAACAGGAAUGAGUUUGGUUUUUUUAGUAUUGGAAAGCUUAUGGUCUGAUGGGAGAUUCAAAGACAUAAAUAAUACAAGGUAGCAAAUGUUACAAUAAAAUUUAAGUAUACAACUGAUGAAUAGAUGAACAAAAUGUGGUACAUACAUACAAUGGAAUACUACUCAGCCAGCAGGAGAAAUGAAGUCUUGAUACAUGCUACAACAUGGACAGGACUUGAAAACAUUACGCUUAGCAAAAUAAGUCAAUCACAAAAUGACAAAUAUUAUAUGAUCUUAUUUUUAUAAAAAGACAAACCCAUUGCCAUCAAGUCAAUUCUGACUCAUAGCGACCCUAUAGGACAGAGUAGAACUGCACCAUAAGGUUUCCAAGGAGUGGCUGGUAGAUUCGAAAACUGAUGACCUUUUGGUUAGCAGCCUGAACUCUUCAUCACUGUGCCAGGGCUCCAUGAAAAGGCAAAUUUAUAGAGACCAAAAUGUAUUCGUGGUUACCAGGGGCAGGACAGAGAGGGAAAGAGGUGGUUAUUGUUUAGGGAAUACUGAGUUUCGGUUAAUGGUGUGGAAAAUUCACACUGGUGGUGAUUAUUGCAAAUGCUGUCAGUAAGUUAUACACCUGUAAAAAGUUGAAUUGGCAAAAAUUGUGUGACAGAUAUAUUUACACACACAAAAAGAAUAGCUUCUGAGGCUGCUUAUGUACAACUAAAAACCUCAUGGGAUUUGGUCCCUCGGUUUGGAGGUUUUGGUUCAUGGUUUCAUGGGACAUCCCAGUUAAUUGGUCUAAUGACAUGUUUAGCGUUUCUGUUCUAUCUCCUAGUUUACUGUGUAGUGCCUGGGGUAAAAAAAAAAAAAAGUUUGCAAGCAGCCAUCCAAGGCACAACAGUUGGUCUCUAUUCACCUGAAGCACAGAGGAAGAAGGAGAGUCAGAAACAGGAGAAGGAAAUGGAAUGUGUGGCUAAUUGCCUCCAUGAACAACUGCCUCCUUUGCCAUGAGACCAGAAGAACUGGAUGGUGCCUGGCUACCAUUACUGAACAUUUUGAUCAAGGAUUCUAUAGAGGAAUACUCAUAAAGGCAGAAAAAUGUAGAACGGAAUUUCAAAUUCUCGUGGACUCCAGACUUUCUGGAGCCACAGAGGCUGGAUAAAGCCCAGAAACUAUUGCUCUGAGAUUUUUAAACCUUAAAAUAAAAAAUUCCCUGAAAUCUUACAACCAAACAAUAGUUUAAUGUAAUUAGUAAAAAAUAUCUGUCUUGAGCAUUAUGCUCUUUUAACAACUACCUAGAUGGGAUUAGAUUGACAACGGCAACUCGAAAGAUUAUAUAGGAACUUUAGAAGACAAAGAGUUUAUGUUAAUGGGAGAAGAUCAGCUCAGAAAAGGAAUGUGAGAAUGGUUGCACAACUCGAAGAAUGUCAUCAGUGUCAUCGAACUGUAUGUGUACAAACUGUUGAAUUGGUAUAUGUUUUGCUGUGUAUAUUCUCAACAACAAAACACAUAAAAUUUUUUUUUUAAUUAUGUAAGUACGGUGGGUAUGGAUGACCACUACUCAAUCUUGGGGAUCAAAAAAACUUCCCAGGCCAUAUGAUAUUUCCCCUGAAACCUAAAAGCUGAGUAGGCGUUAAUUAAAUGAGCAAUGGGAGGAAGAGGGAAGGGAGGGGGAAGUAUUUCAAGCUAAGGGGCAGUGCGUGCAAAGACCUGGAUCCAUUUUAAGGAAAUGAAAGUAGUUCAGUGUUGUUGAAGCUGAUUGUGAGAGAGGGAAGUGGCAAGAAAUUAACACUGCAAAGAAAUAGAAGUUAAUUUUAUAGACUCUUAACCAAAACACCAAACCAAUUGCCAUCAAAUCAAUGACUUAUAGAGACCCUAUAGUACAGAGUAGAACUGCCCCACAGAGUUUUCAAGGAGUGGCUGGUGGAUUUGAACUGCUGACCUUUUGGUUAGCAGCCUAACACUUAACUACUGUGCCACCAGGGCUCUUCAAACCAAAAAAACCAAACCCAGUGCAGUUGAGUUGAUUCCAGCUCAUAGCAAUCCUAAAGGACAGAGUAGAACUGCCCCAUAGAGUUUCCAAGAAGUGCCUGGCGGAUUCUAACUGCGAACUCUUUGGUUAGCAGCUGUAACACUUAACCACUAUGCCACCAGGGUUUCCCCAGGUCUCUUAGCAAAGUUAAAUAAUUUGGACUUUUAUAUUCUAUUAAAGGCCAUUAAAAAAAACCUGUUGCCAUCGAGUUGAUUCUCAUAGCGAGCCUACAGGACAGAGUAGAACUGCCUCAUACAGUUUCCAAAGAGCACCUGGUGAAUUUGAACUACUGACCUUUUGAUUAGCAGCCAUAGCUCUUAACCACUAUGCUAUCAGGGUUUCCAUUAAAGUCCAUUAUAGUCAUUAAAUGGCCAUUAAAAAUUUUAAACAGGUGAAUGACAUGAUCAAAUUUGUGCUUUAGGAAGAUUAUUCUUAUCUCAGUGUCCAAGAAAGAUCAAAAGGAAGGCAAGAUUAGAGGUAAAGUUAUUUGAUGUUGAAAGGGAAAAGGUGUUGAAAUAAUGAGGCAAGAUUUUGUGGAGAUCUGAACUAAGGAUGUGGCAAGAGAUGGAGAGAUACAAAGAUAUUUACAAGGACUAGAGGGUACUUUGGAAACCCUGGUGGCGUAGUGGUUAAAUGCUACAGCUGCUAACCAAAGGGAUGGCAGUUCAAAUCCACCAGGCGCUCCCGGGAAACUCUGGGGACAGUUCUACCCUUCCCUAUAGGGUCACUAUGAGCUGGAAUCGACUCGACGACACUGGGUUUGGUUUGGUUUUUGGUUUAGAGGGUACUUUAGCUGGAUGGCAUAUAUUUCAAAGGUGAAAGAAAGAAGGAUGAACUAAAAACAUAAUUUGAUGAGCCAGCAGUCUUCAUUUGUACAGGCUGCAAGGAAAGCUGUAUCCUCAGAAGACAGCCAGAUUUCACUCAAGGUGGAGUUGUCGGAAUGCUCAUUGUGGCAAUGGAAUAUCCAGAGGCCACAAGUGAACUAGUUUGGAAGGUAGGAGCUUAUCCAACGAUCCAACGUGGGUUCUCCAGAAGGCAGAACCUGAGGGAAAGGACUUAUCCAUAUUACUUUAUUUAAUUGUGCAAUCCCAGGAUGCAAGAGUGAGGAGCAAAAGAAUGAAGUAGAGAAAGAAGGAGAGCCAUAUGAAGAUGCAUUAUGGAGCUGACUGCUGCUGGGUUUGACUGAUUGCUCACUCCCAAAGGACCAUCCUCUGAGAAGCUAUAUAAUGUCAUCACAGAGGGAAAAGGGGAGGGGUUUAGCCACUAACUCCAGUCUCCCAUUGGUCAAAGUUUUAUCUCACAGGGCAUGAACUUCCCCACACUUCAAGACUGCACAUACAUGAGAGCAAUAGAGGUCUUCUGGAGGUAUCACUAAUGUAGGCCCAGGGCAGGAGGCAAGAAGUUGUGAUACUGUUGAGUUAUGCCUGUAUGCAAGUGGUCAGAACCUAUGCAGAACAAGCUAUCUCAGUAGCAACUUGAGUGAAAAAGGUGAGAUUAAGAGAAUAUAGAGUAGUGCUUAAAAGGUGCAUAAUACAGUCCUCUUAUACCCUUCAGGUUUACUUUUGUUCACCAUUGUAUCCAAUUCCCAUACUACAGCACGGGGCCUCCAUUUUGUAAGAAUCAGCUCUCCUCAUCUUUUCCCCAAGAGUCAAUUUCAUGCUGUGAAAUUUUGAUCAAACAGCUGAGUAGCACUAGCCCCACCUUUCACAGAGUCCCUUUCAAGGAGAUGGCCAGCAGAAAUCUCUGAAAAUCUUAAUGGAUUACGUGCCAUGACCCAUCAGAUAGGUCAGUUGAUGAGCAUGUGAUGGGACCACUACACCUGAAUCCUUUAAAUCUUUGAUGAUAGUGAUAAUCUCUACAGUUCCUCCUGGGAAGAAGAUUGCUUCUCACAUACCACAUACGGUAGGAAUGUGUUUGUGUCUGUGGAGAAGGAAUGGCAGAGGUUUCCGGGGCUUCUACUUGGCCCUUCCUACCAUACACUAGAAGUCAGAGAAACAACAUGAAGAUUCUGCUAGCUGCUCCAGACAACUAUGCCUUUGGAGACUAUGGAAAUAUCUAUGAGAUAAACUUGGGCCCAAAUUCUAUUUAUCACCUAAACUCCAUUACCCCCUUCUCUAGCUUGAGGACCAUGAUGAAGUUUCAGUUCCUCUACCAUCAGACAGAUAAGACCCCACAUCUAAGAGUGCUCAAAAAAAAUCUGUGUGUUUCCCUUUCCCCAGUGCACAGAUAUCCUGACAAAUGGUCACAGGUCCCUUUGGGCAAGGAUUGGGAGAUUACUUAGUAGAUACAGAGAUAGAGAUGUAAAUGUAGAUAUAGUAGAUUGCAGGGUUAUUCCUCAAGAGGACCUAAGCUCCCUUUCAAUAAAUAGGCUAUGAUUCUAUGAAUUAAUUUAGAUCUUGAAUCAGGAAGAGGGAUCAAAAAUUUCCAUUCUGGUGGCUGACGUCAGCCUUCUGUGCACUAGUUCUCAAUUUUUAAAAAUAUAAUAAUACAAGUCAGCAACCCUAGUCAGUAGUCUAUCUCACUUCCAGGAAUACCAUGGUCUAUUAGCCAACACCGAAGAUCCCUGUUAAAGGGCAUUGUGAAUUGCAUUCUGACUUUGCUGCCCAUUGUAUAUAUUAUGUCUAUCUUGGCUAUGUUAGCUAAGUGCUACCACUGGGCUCCACCAUUCUGGAAUCCUGUCAUUCCCACUGAUACUGUGAGGCCCAGUUUUUUGGUAGCAUCUCCCUCCAUCAGUCUUAUUUACAAAGACAACUUCCAUCAAACAUCUAAAUGGCUGCCAGUACUUCUCAUUGUUUUAUUUAGUGGGGUAUCUCCUGGGAUCUCCCAGUGGACAUAGUCUGGUGGUAGGUUUCUAGGUCUUACAUAACAAAUUAGUCCUAACAUACCCACCUCUGUGAGACUUCCAGCUUUUCCCUCAAUACUAUACCAAUGAACUUCCAGCAUUUCUACCUCAUUUACUAAGGUUCAUCAUCCUGUAAAAGCUACAAGGAGUCAUCCCAACAGAUUUUUAGGAUCAUCUUGAGAUUUUGUUUCCAGAAAUUGAAACCCAAGUCAUGAAUGAGCUCUCUCUUGUUCAAUAAAUGCUCUCUACCCAGUCUUAUAUCUUCUUCCCCAACUUGAGGCCAACACCUUUUAGAUCUACUCCUACAAGAGUUCCUUAGGUCCUACAAAUCCUUGGAGUGUCGGCUAUUCCUCAAAAGCUGUAAUUUGCUAAUCAGGCUGUGAUAAGACCUACCUCUGGUUAUUAGCCUGGAGGUUAUGAGGGGUGGAUCUUGAAGAGAACUAGUGUCAUCUUGCAAAACACCUGCCUUCAAUGAUGGUGUUGCACCUUCUCUAGGAAAGGGGAGAUUGCGCUCCUCAGACAAGAUGGAGAGCUAUUUCUGACAUCCUAGAGAGUUUACAAUUUUCAGGCUCAUCCACCCGAAUAUCCCUAACACAAGUCACAGAGUCCCACUCUUUUCCUAUCAGGGCAUUAACUUUGACAUACAACACCUGUCGAGGCUAUGCACUGAGUCGUCUGUGCAGCUCUGGUACACUUAAAAACUAGGUCCUGGGCCUGAUUUUCAGCUUAGUUUACAGCAAAUGAGAGUCUUCUUCAAAGUUACUGUAGAACACACUGGCUUUCAUAGAGUGUCUUUACUUGUCAAUUGAUGAUCAUGAGCUUUUCAUUUUCUCAUAUCAAGUUUUUCAACGUAGUUAACAAAGUCAUCCCACUCAAAAAUUCAUAUCAUUAUUGUUACUCUUGUAACAACCAAGUGUAACAUAUCCCAAUGCCUCCUCUUCUACAUGCAUCUCACCCCAAUUACCUCAGGUGAAUGCCUUAGUAAUUGCGAUGCCACCACAGGCCAAGUAUUAUCACCAUCCCAUUUACCACCAGCAACAGGUUUGUUAUUUAUUGCCAUCAGAUUGCUGUGUAACCUAGCUGGAAAAUUCUAUCCUGAGUAUCUGACUUCUAGGACUACUCCUGAUACUGUUUUAACCUGGGUCCCCCGGAAAGCACAGCCUAAGGCAAAGGACUUGAAUAUAAUCUUGGCAAUCAGAAACAAAGAACAAGAAUAUUAAAGAACAUAAGAAGAGCUAAUAUGCAAGCAGGCUACCACUAGGUGUGACCGAUUGCUCAAUUCUGUGGGCACAACCUCGAGAAGGUGUAAAAACUGCAUCUCAGCACUGCACAUUGGUGGAGGGAGAGAAAGGGGGAGAAUUUCUCUACUGGCUCCAGUCUCCCAUUCCUACUGGUCAAAUGGCUCACUUUUGGGGUGGAUAUUAACUUCCUUGCAAGUCCGGGUUAUACAUACAUGUGUGCUGUGUGGAGUUCCGCAGAAGUAUCAGUAGAGAAGCCCCAGGUGAGCAGGCAAGAGGCAUGGGCAAGAGGUGAGGCAGUCAGGUUGGCCUACAUGAAAUCAAUCGGAAUCUAUGCAAAACUGGUUGCCACAGGGGUAGCAGAACAAGAGGAAGAAGCUGAGGAUCUGAAGCAGUGAAUAGCAGGUUGGUCAAGGGAGGGGAAUCAUAGGGAGCUGUGGAGAUGGGGAUACAAGAGAAGCCAAAUGACUAUAUAUAAGAUAAAAGCUUAGGCCUUAAGAAUAAAUUGGCCUAUAAAUGUAUUUUGUUUGGCAGACCCAACUUUUGUAAAUUUUUAAAUUAAAUGUCUCUAGGCAGGGCACGCAUUUUUUCCCUAUUUGCCAUAGUCCCUAGCAAUCCCUACUGUGUUCCUAGCACAGGCUACACAUUUCCCUUCCCUCCCUGACUCUUGAAAGCAUUUGGGCUUGUUACCGCAGAGGAUUGGGAUUAUCUCGGUAACAAGGCAUGGUGGAUUUAGCUAGCUGCAAGUUUUCCAUCCAAAUUACUCUCAGCAGCCUCUGGAUGAAAAUGACUCAUGCCUCCUGGAAAAAAAGUAAGCUAAGGCCUGGAUUCUCUGAACUCCUUCGGACCUCCCAGUACAGGUGAGCAAGGAAGCAACACGGUUAGUUGAUUUCCUAAAACACUGAGCACAUGUUGGGAACAGUAGUAGUCUCUUUUUAAGAAAAUGCUGAAUGCUUUUGGGAAAUGAAGAGAAGACAUUUGAGGAUUUUAAGCAGACUCAUUUAUGUAAAGUGGUUUCUUCCUGGUUCUGAUUAAACACAAAAAUGACUGCACCUGGUUCUCUUCCCCACCAUUUUAUUUUUAGCUCGGGAAUGGCCCUCAGUUCAGUGACCAUUUCCCCUCUCUUCCAAAAGCAAAAGAGUUAUGUUUGCUGAAUUGCUAAAGCAGAACUUGAGAUCUGCUGUCUAUCACAUCGAUAAUAAGUUAACACCAAUCUUUUAAGUAGACCCUGUGGUUUUGUAAGGGACAUUGAAUUUCUUAUACUCAACCCAAGGCGGACAAUAGAUACCAUCAACAUUUUAAUCAGAUUGUAUGUCACAGAGGUAUUUCUUGAGGCUCACUUGGUACCAGGCAUUGUAUUUGGCUCUGUUGAUGCAAAGAGAGUUAAGAUAUGGGAUGCUGCCCUUGGAGAACUGAGAAUCUAGUAGGAAAACACAUGAUAUAAUGGGAGGUCUGAGCAAAGUGUUGGGGAGGCAGUAAGAAGGGAGGGAAGCCAUCACUGAGGAAGUGACAUUUGUCUUGAGUCUUGAAGGAUGACUAGCACCUGAGACAGAAGUAAGGAUAUGGGAGUGAUGGCAGCUCAGAGCAGUGAGCAGAGGACAGAGACAAGGUGUGGGACCUCUUACCCCUCCUGUCUACCCGGGCUGCCUUGACCGCUAUUGCCUCUGUUCACCACCUCACUUGGCAUGCUGCCGUGGCCACCUUUAUCAAUGAUCUCUGCUAGAAUCUGCCAGCACCUCUGAGAUAAGCAAAUUGCAACAUCAGGCUGUGAAUAGCAAGUUAGUCACCAGUACCCUGGACUGAGCACACUGGGGCUGGUUGUAUAUUCAGCCGCAGCUAUAAAUUUUCAAAGGUAACAUCAUGCAAAUGACAGCUAGAAGCAAAGAGCCUAAAUGUUCUAGAUUUAUUUUCUCAUUCUCACAAGCUUGAAGUUCAAUGGCCAAGAGCAGUGAUAAUUUACUAUGUUGUUGCAUUCUUCUGAAUAUCUAUUAAGAAAUCUCUAUCUGCAGAGCUGGAUAAGUACAGUGGGUAAUCGGGUAUAUUUAUUAUCUGUGGAAUAUUUAAACAUUUCUUCUUUCUAGUUGUUUAGUACUUGAUGGUGUUUUUUACCUUCACUGACUUCCUGUUCUAAAUCAGUGAGACUAUGUAUCGAUGUACACAAUUAAAUUGUCUGGGAUGCUUCAAAAAACUGAUGUGUGGUCUCCACCAAUUAAGCCACAAUCUCGAAAAGUAGGACCCAGAUAUCUAUAUUUUCAAAGCCCCUCACAUGACUGUGAUGUGAAGCCAGGGUUGAUUACAGUGCCUCUAGUCCAACAGAGAGAAGAAGAAAGAAAGAAACUUACAUUCAUUAAAUAGACACCAUUAUUGACAGCUUUCCUCUUUAUUCUUACAUAGUUUCAAUAACAUGAUAAAAGGAAAUGUGAUUAGAAUGCCCUUUGAGUUUGGGUGAAAUACUUUGAUAAGUUACUUGGGAUAGGAGAUGAGCCCUUCUAAGAGCACGCUCAAGAAACUGAAAAUAGUUUCCCAUAUGACAAGGGGAAGAGUUAGCUGUCUCUUUUGAGGGGCUGGGGACGAGAAGGCAAAGAAAGACAGGAAAAAGGGAAAAGCAACUUGCUACGAGCCUGCAAGUCUUCCAUGAACUGAACUCUCAGUGCUUCAGAUAAGUAUUUCUUGUUGACACAGAGUGAGUGGUAAGAUUGCUGCCCAAGGUGACAUGGGCAAUAGGAAAGCAGGAGCUAGAGGGUCGGGAAAGUCUCCGCAAAGGCCUGGUCUCAACCAUGGUAAUGGCCAAUACUCAUAGAGAGUAAUUUAGACAUUCAGGAGUAGGGGAAAAGGUUGAAAGAUAUUUUCGCAUUGUGACUGAAGAGAAUUUGCUGAUGUUGGGAGGUCGCCUUGGUGACGGGCUUACAGCUAGAGCUGCAUUUGUGAGGUUCCUUAGAGAGCCAAAGUAGCUCUGGUGGUGCGGUGAUUAAGCGCUCAGCUGCCAACCAAAAAGUUGGCGGUUCGAAUCCAUUAGCCACUCUGUGGGAGAGAGAUGUGGCGCUUCCGUAAAGAUAUACAGCCUUGGAAACUCUGUGAGGCAGUUCUCCUCUAUCCUAUAGCGUCACUAUGAGUUAGAAUCAAUUCAACGGCAAAGGGUAUAGACAGUCAAUAUGAUUGUACAUGCGCAUCCAGAGUUUGGAGCACCUGGAGAGCAAUCAUAGACCAGCACUUUCCAAGGGUGUUCCAUGGAACUUGAGUUCUGAGGAUGUUAAAUGAAAGACAUUAACAAGGGUUCCACAUCAAAGAAAUUUGGAAAAUGGGUCAAAGGGGACUUCUAAAGCCUUUAAUAUGCCAAUGAGCACGGCGACUCUCUAAGAGGAAACUCUAGACUGCAGCUCUCUCUCUCUGCUCUCACAAAAUAUCUCAACAAACCAGAAUUCCCUGGGAGUCACUUUGGAAACACUAUUUCUGACCCAUGUAUGAAUUACUGGUGCCAUGUAGAUGUUUUCCCAAGAAAUGACCGGGAGACGCAUAGACAUAAGGACACAGUAAUACAUUUUAAGUUUGUCUACUUUUUCAAUUGAAAACGAAAGUAAAUUGUUUUCCCUUUCAGUAUACUUUCCUGGGGGGGUAGGGGCGGGAGGUAGAAACAAGACUUUAAACAAGCUGUUACCCCUGCAUGAGGCAUUGCAUAGUCUAUGGAUGUUUACCCUCAGUUAUCGUUAAUAUGAUGUAAUGGCUCUGCAGGAUUUAUUUCACCAAUUCCUCGAAACUCAAAUUCUCUGUUGAGGAUUGAAAUAACAUAUGUGUGGACAAUACGGAGCCACAAAGUUAAGAAUUCAUCUUGCUGAAUUUCUAAUAUUGUACAUUCGUGAUGUGACUCCGUAAGUCUGAGGAAAUCUGAGAAGCAAUUGACACUCAACAUCAGGAGGUUAGAAAUAGUAUGUGCUACUGGGUCAAGUUUGUCUUUUUUUACUGGGUCAAGUUACCUUUACUGAAAUGGAAGGUGUAUGAUGGAUGUAGUUAUGGGCUGGGAAGCAGGAGAUCUGAAUUCUCAUCCCAGUUAUCCCACAGUCUUGUCUUGCUCUCUGACUUUGGCCAAAUUCCUAGUGGUCCAUAUGUCAAAUGAAGGAUAGGUGAUCCCAAAGGUCUCUUCUAGAUAGAAACUUUAUGUGUCUGGCUAAUCACACAAUAGCUUCCAGCAUCAUAGCAACACACAAGUCACUAACCAUCUGUCAGUUUGUCAUAUGUGGUGGCUUACAUGUUGCUAUAAUGUUGGAAGUUAUGUCACUGAUACCAGCAGAGUCACCCAGGGUGAACAGGUUUCAGCAGAGCUUCCAGGCUAAGUCAGACUAGGAAGAAAGGCUUGGUGAUCUACUUCCAAAAAUUAGUCAGUGAAAAUCUUAUGGAUCACAACAGAAUAUUGUCAGACAUCGUGCUGGAAGAUGAGCCCCCUCUGUUGGAAGGCACUACACAAUAGCUGCAACGAUGGGCCCCAGCAUACCAGUGAUCAUGAAAACGGCACUGGGCAACAUUUUGUUCUUCUAUAUAUACAGCUGCCUUGAGUCGAACUGGAGUAUAACAAUACUCCAAAGCUACUACAGAAAAGCUUGGAGAACUCAGAACCUGGAAGAAAAAAAAAAAGACCGCUCUUAGGAAAGCUUCCUUCUCAAGAAAGAGGCAUCAGAAUUUUUAUAGCCUUGAUUCUCAGUGGGGUUGGGGAUAGGGAUUGCAGAACACUUAGUUGAGAAAUCUUUCUACCCGAUGAGCUUUUGGUGCCUCGGUCAUUCCUGGGGCUCCUUCCCUUAGUCCAUUGCGUCACACAAGAACCCUGGGGUUACAUGAUUCUGGGAGAAUGGUGAAGGGUCCACACGAUGUUGCACUGGAGCUCUGGUUCUUCACUUGAGUGUCCAGCUAUGAUGCUCCUGCCCUCAUGGCAGCCUGGGUUGUGAUCCUUCUGCCUGCUCAGUCCUCUCUAUCACACUUGCAGCUGUACCUGACUUGGAGGUUUACUACCCUCUGCCCUUUACUUUCUCAUGGAUCACUGGAAAUCUCACAAUACAGCAAAUAUUUUUCUGAGUUAUGAAGAACUCAGUCUUUUUAAGUGCAACAAUUUUCUCUCAUUUUCCAAGGGUGGGCAGCAUAUCUUUUCUUAGAAGUCUUAAGCCAAUAAUAUGAUUGGAGUACUAUAUGGUGCAAUUUUAAAAUCUUAAUAAAUCACCUACUUGCUUUCCCUUAAUAUUCGGAGGUACUAACUAGGACUUCCAGAAUAACGUUGAAUAAAACUGGGAUAGCAGACACCUUUGUCUGGUUUCACCAUUAAGUACAAUGUUUAUUCUUGUUUUCAGAAUGUUUCCUUUUUCAGACUAACAAAAAAAUAUUAUGAGUUUUCUAUUAUGAAUUUACAUUGGACUUUACCAAAUCCUUUCUCUGCACCUAUAGAGGUUAUCACAUGGCAUACUACGAGAUGAAAAUCUCUCCCUUUCUUUGUAUUCUCUGAACCACAUUGUAUAGGGUGAGAAUUACUUAUUCUUUGAAGAGUAGUUAGAACUUACUUGUAACAUCAUCUGGACUUACAAUUCUGGAUUUUCAUUUUUUAUUUAUUUCUUACAUCUGGGCAUUUUCUUACUUUCAUGUGAAUUCAACAAUCACACAUUUUUAAAUCACUGUAUAUUAUCCUGAAAUUCUACACAUUAUGCAAAUAUUUGUAUUAAUUUGCUCCACCAUAGCUCUAGAAUCAGAAGUCUUGGGUUAUUUCUUUCAGAAAGUUUCCCAGAAGUUAUAGUAUUGUGUUAAAUAAUCCCCACUUUGCAGUCCCUACUCAAUUUGUAGAUCUAGGCAUUGUGCAACGACAGCUGCUAACAUCACAAAAAGGGAGACAUCCAGACAUUAUGUGCCUCUCGAUGAACAAACACCGUAUCACCUACAGUCUUGCCAAAAAAACUAAAUCUCAGCCUGAUCAAACCAUAAAUUUACAGGACAUAUAGAGAAGAGAGGAACACGUUAAACUACACCAUACAAUGUAACCCGGAAAAUCUAGAUUAAACGAAUCUCUACAGGUCAAACAACCUAGGCUCUUCAAUGAAUAAUUUGCAAGGGAUAAGAAGGGGUGAGGGAAGACCCUUUAGAUUAAAAGACAUUUAAAAGGCAAAUUUAAAAACAGACAAAAUUAAAGUACAGAGUUUAUGGAUGCACAAUCGUGGGGUAAAAUUUUUUUUUUUUAAGGAAAUGAUUAUAAUAAAAAUCAAGAUGAUGGUUACUUUUAGGAAAGAGGGAUCUAGCAAGUGAAGGACCCUGAGGUAGCUGGCAAAGUUCUAUUUCUUGACAUAGUGGUGGUUACAAGAGUAUUUUCUUCAUAGUAAUUCCUUAACAUGUAAUUUUGCAUCAUGCAGUUUUUCAUAUAAAAAAGCUUGAAAAAAAUCAUUAUUGAGUACAUAUGGGAUAACAGUAUUACCGUUCAAAACAUUAAAACCAAAAAAACCAAACCCAGUGCUGUCGAGUCGAUUUUGACUCAUAGCAACUCUAUAGGACAGAGUAGAACUGCCCCAUAGAGUUUCCAAGGAGCGCCUGGUGGAUUCAAACUGCCGACCUUUAGGUUAGCAGCUGUAGCACUUAACCGCUACACCACCAGGGUUUCCAAAACAUUAAGUGCUACUAAAACUAUUUUAUAAAAUCACAAGCCAAAAUCCAAACUUCUCAUUUCUGUCUAGCUCCUGCUGUGUUCCAGGAGAGAAAAACUUGUUCAAAUUCUAUACAGCCAAAUGCCUAAGCUUCUUUAGUAUUCUAUCUUUCUACCCUUUAGCAUCAGCAAGAGAAAGAAGGCUACCCCAUCCUCAGAAUAAGAUCUAUUCAUCCUUCCUUGCCCAAGACAGAUUGACAGUGAGGACUUCCACUUCCUUUAGUGAAUUUCCAAAAACUCUCACUUCCAAUCACAGUGUAUAAUCUCAGUGGCUCAGAAAAUAUCAUAACGGCUGUUAGUGUAUUUACCAAAAUCUGGGUUAUUCAACAUGAAUAACACUAUGUGGUAGAUACCACCGUUUGAGUCUAAUUGCAUAUUUAGAAAAAAAAUAUUUCUUCAAUUCUUCAAAAGCACGUUCAAGUUAUACCUGACCUAAAUUUGUGUCGUAACCAAGACAUAAUCAUCUUAUUCUAAAAUAUAUUAAGAUGAAUGGCACGGUGUUUUCUCCUGUAAAAUAGGUUCUCUGUUGGGAUUUUUUUCUCAAAUCCCAUCUUGCAGUUUUCUCAAAACAAAGGAAAUUUCGGCUUCCAGAAAUGGAAAACUCCAAAAAACUUUCUAAAGUUAGUUCUCCCCCAUCUACUCCUGUUACUGAAAAUCAGAUCAAAUCAAAUUAAGUUUUAGCCUUAUCAGGCACUUGUUAAAACUAAAUCCAGUCAUAUUCUAUUAUAUUCUAUUUCACCUAACCCUUGGCUCUUUUAUAAAUCUUAUAACCUACUCUAAUUCUUCCAGUGUAAUAAAAGCCACUUCAAAGUACUAAGUCAUCCUAUAGGAAGAAUUGCAACCCUGGUGGUGCAGUGGUUAGGAGCUAUGGCUGCUAACAAAAAGGUCAACAGUUUGAAUCCACUACCCGCUCCUUGGAAACCCGAUGGGGCAGUUUUACCAUUUCCUAUAGAGUCACCGUGAGUCGAAAUUGUCUUGAUGGCACAUAACAGCAGUCCUUAAGGAACCAUAACUGGACUAAAGGAGAGAUCUGAGCAUCACCUUGAGAUCCCAGACUUUGAGACAGAUGUAAUAACUGGGCUAACUGUGAUAGAGAUUGCUAGUUACCUACCAGAAUUCAUUUUCCCUUCUUUCUGGGCAAACAGAUAGAUGACAUUCUUAGCCUUUCCUGCAGUGAAGUGACUAAGUUCUCUUCAGUGGACUCUGAAUGAAGUGAUAUAUGCCACUUCCAGGCUUGGUCCAUAAAAACCUCUCACACUUGUUCCUAUAUGCCCUUUUCCUCUACUGGGUGAUGACUAAUGAGACAAUGCUUUGGAUGGCUUCCAGAUGCCACAGUUUGAAGAUGGCAGAACGACCAUCAACCUAGGUCCUUAAAUGACUAUGUGGAGGAGAGUGGCCAUCAACCUAUUAUAAGGGAUUUUUGUUUUUAAAGCCACUGAAAUUUAGGUUUUAUUUUUACUGACAUUUAACAUUCUCUAAUAAACCAAACCAAACCCGUUGCUGUCAGGUUGAUUCCGACUCAUAGAGACCCUGUAGGACAGAGUAGAACUGCCCCAUAGAGUUUCCAAGGAACGCCUGGUGGAUUCAAACUGUUGAUCCCUUGGUUAGCAGCAGUAACACUUAACCACUACGCCACCAGGGUUUCCAACAUUCUCUAAUACAGAAUGUUAAAAGUAGCGAUGUCUAUUUUUGCGAUUUGCCAGGAUCCCCCUCCCCCCCGCAAGAGAGGCUAUAGUUGAUCUAUGGAAUCCUAGACUUUACUAUGUUCCCUACCACCACCCCUUCAAUGCAGAUUAGACUCAUGGUCCUUUCUUAUGACUUCCUUGGAUACACUCUUAAUUUCUUGCCUCGUAUUCUCUCUGUCUUGCUCACAUUGUUGCUGUAGGUUGCCAUCUAAUUGAUUCCAACUCAUAGCUACCCAUUUGACACGAGUUGCAGAGUAGAACUGCUCCAUAGGGUUUUCAAGGCUGUGAUAUUUUGGAAGCAGAUUGCCAGGCCUGUCUCCUGAGGUGCCACUGGUCAUGUUUGAACCACCAACUUUUUGGCUAGUAGUCGAGCACUUAAUGGCUUGUGCCACCCAGGGACUGAUUCUCUCUCAUAAUCUCCUGGAAAAACCCCAGUCUGGUUACAUCUAACUUUUUACCUACUCUGACACUCACAAAGCUAACUGUGGCUAGGUUCACUUUCAAUUCAUAAUCACUGACCUAAAAUUGGUCCAUAGUGCUGUCCCACAAUCUCACUAUAUUUCCAUAAUCCAUUCAUUUGUUCAGUCUCCUACAUAGCAAUUCCAUACCUUCUCUCCUUGCUACAAAUUUUCAGCACCUCUUCUCUCCUCUUCACUCUCAGCUGAUGAGUUAGAUUUCUAUUUCAAUAAGAAAAUCGAAACAAUCAAAAAUCAUUAGCUCCCACCAUCUCUUCUACUGCCUACCUGCAUCUGUUUUAUGUAUAAUUUGCCUUCCCUUCUGGGUGAAUCGUCUGUGCUCCUUUCUAAGGCCAAAUCCUCCAUAUGUGCAUUGGGCACAAUUUCCUCUCAUUGCUCAAGGAUAUUACUCCAGCAAUUCUGUCCUCCCUCUUCCAUCAUCAAAAUUUCCUUCUAUACUGGCACUUUACCAUCAACCCACAGAACAUGAUAAAAUAGAUUUUUGUUGCUCUGUGCCAUUGAUUUCAACUCAUAGAGGCCUUAUAGGACAGAGUAAAACAGUCUCAUAGGGAUUCCUAGGCUGUAAUCUUUAUGGGAGCAGAUCGCUAGGUCUUUUCUCUUGCAAAGCUGCUGGUAGGUUUGAACAGCUGACUUUUCAGUUAACAGCUGAGUGCUUAAUCAUUGCACCACCAGGGCUCCUAUGAUGAAAUAUAGCCCAUCUUAAAAAAAGACAGAAACUUGACUCCAUAUCCUUCUCCAACUACCGACCCAUUUCUUUGCUAGCUUUUAUAGAUUUUGUCAUUAGGGGCCUUCGAGUCUAUUCUGACUCACAGUGAUCCUAUGUACAGUGGAAAGAAACACUGCCCAGUCCUGGGCCAUCCUCACAAUUGUUGUUAUGCUUGAGCCCAUUGUUGCAGCCACUGUGUAGGUCCAUCUUGUUGAGGGUCUUCCUCUUUUUCGUUGACCCUCUAUUUUACCAGUGAGUUGGAACUGACUUGAUGGCAACAGGUUUUUGGUGACAUCCUUCUCCAAGGACUGGUCCCUUCUGAUAAUAUGUCCAAAGUAGGGGAGAUGGAGUCUCGUCAUCCUUGCUUCCAAGGAGCAUUCUGCUUGUACUUCUUCCAAGACAGAUUUAUUCACUUUUAAAGAUAUAUUCCUGAAAAAAUUUGUCUAUAUUCACUGUCUUCUUUUCUCUAAUCUCAUUGUUUCUUGAAGCCAUUCCAGGCAGGCUUUUGUCCUCACCAUUCCAUCGAUACAGGUUGUGUCCAGGUCACAAACGACCUUUAUGUUGCCAAACUCAGUGGUCAAUUAACAAUCUCCAUUUCUUUCAACCUGGCAGCAGCAUUUGAUAUGCUAUAUCACUCACUCCCUUUAGAAGUAUUUUAUUUUCUUGGCUUCCACGAACCCUUGUCUCUUGAUUCUUUGCCUUCCUUCCUGGUCAAGCCUUCUCAUCUCUCAAACCUCUAAAUACUGGAGUGCCACAAGCUCAGUCCCUGGUGCUUUUGUCAAGUUUCAUAACUUUAAAUACCAUAUCUAUGCAGAUGGUUCUCUUUAAAUCCAGGCUUGUAUAUCCAACUGCCUUCUUCACCUUUCCACCUGGGAGUCUGUCUCAUAGUCACUUCAAAAUUGAAUUUCAAAAAAAAUCGAACUCCUAAUUAUCCUCACCCUCAAACCUGCUCAAUAAAAGUAGCUUCAUUUUUUAGUUGCCGAAGCCAAAACCUUUGUGAUCCUUGACUAUUCUCUUUCCCUAAUACCAACAGUGCAUCAGCAAAUCCUCUUCAGUCUUUCUCCAACUAUAUCCAGAAUAGGACCACUUCUUACCACCUCCGUUACCGUAAUCUCUCACCAGGAUUGCUGCAGUAGUAUCCUGUGGUCAAAACUGCUCUUUCACUCCCAGUAUCCUUCCACAGUAAUAGGAUUUUUAACUCAGUACCUGGCCUCCCAAAAUGUAGAUGAUAAUUCCUAACAUUUCUUGUAGCUUGGUGUAGCUAAGGGGAUGUAAGCAGAAAUGGCAGUUAUUCUUCACAUAUAGUUUUCAUCAGUACUUGGUUCCCAUUCUCCUAGAUGGGCAAUGGAUGUUGGAUUUAUUUUAUGUAGAGUCCUACACAAAUUUAGCUUCAAGCAGCUCCAUCCUCCACCUCUCUCCACUCCCAGCUAGCUUGUUGUCCUUCUUAAUGAAACGUCUAAAGCUGCCACUGUCUAGAAAUCCUGUGUCUUAGGCAUCUACAGUUUACAGUUCCCCCAACUUCCUGUGGUCUUACACCCACCUGCUUCACUAAUUCAUAGUAUUUGUGCAGACCCUGGAGACAUUUGACUGUCAAAUAAUGACUUAAGGUAUAUGAGUUCUGCCAUAUUCACAAGGGAAAACUCAAAAGAUUGAGACUCUUUGAGACCCAAAGGAAUACCCUCAAAGGAAAUCGAGGCAUCAAGAGACAGUGAUUCUACAUAAUAAUUUUUACACCUACUAUUCUUGAGGCUGACUCUGUUGGCCAGAUUUUUUUCCAAAGCCAUAUGGAUCAUUACUGGAGAGUUGUUUGCUUUGGUUCAGAAUCCAAGUCCGCUUUCUUUUGAAAUGUCUAUAUAGGCCAACCAGACUCUGAACAUGUGCAGAGAUUAUUGCAAACCAAUUAAUCUUCCCUAGGAAAGAUCCAGGCUUGUGCCAAGGAACUCCUGUUUUAACCAAUUCGAACAUGAAUUACAUUAUUGAGCUGGCAGAUGCUAUAUUUAGAAGUUACUGAAGGCCUAAAUUCGAACAAUAGCUAAUUCAAGUGAAGUUCAAAUUCGUCAAAAUGAGUAAUGUGUAAGGAGGUAUAUAGAGAGCUCGGUAGUGCUCUGUUACAUAUUCAUGUUGAGCUUUCAUUAACAAGAAAUACUGUUGUUUCCAUGUUACGUUUAGCCUGUUUUUAUAAAUAGUUUCAACACAAAAUUCUUGGAAAGUGGUAACAAAAUGUGCUUUGGAUGGAACUCACGGACUUUUCUUUUUAGCAUUUUGUCCAGGAAUAAGAAUUAUUAUGAAAUCAUUUAAUCCAUUCAUUAAUUCACCACACUCCUAUAACAAAUAUUUAUCUAAUUAUGGCAAUGAUUCAUUCAGGCACCAAGUUUACAGCAGGAAAAAAAAGAGCAAAGUGGAGAUUACAAUCUGAUGGGGGGAGACAGAUAAUAAGCAAGUAAAUUUAAGGGUUAUGAAGAAAAGUACUAGCAAAGUAGGCAGGGAUGACGUCCUAUUCACAUUUGUAUUGCCAGAACCUUGCACUUAGAAGGAGCUCAAGGGGAUGAAUGGGUUAAUGACUAAAUAUGAUAAAUUUUACAGAACCUCUGACUCAGGCAGGACAUUUGCUUUACAGGCAUAGAGUGCGGUGGAGUUAAGGGAGGUCCAUGCUUCCAGUUCCACCAAACUGGAGCCCAAUUGUGUGCUGGCUGCAGGUAGUUUCCAAAAGGAGAAACCUUUGGAAACACAAGCCCUCGUUUUGGCUUCUGACCCCCUCACCACUAACAGCUUCAGAAAAACCACUGCUGAGGUUUUCACCUCAUCUGAAGUGUUGGAAUUCUUUGUUAUUGUUGUUAGUUGCCAUCGAAUUGGCUCCCACUCAUGGCAACCUUCUGUAUGACAGAAUAAAAUAUUGCCCGGUCCUGUGCUGUCUUCACAACGGUGGAUUAACCAGUAAACAAGGCAUGCACAGGCUUACAGUAAGCAAGGUACACAUGGCUUAAUUGUGUUUACUUCCUAGUCUGUAAAGUACAGUUCCACAUGUGAAACUGUGUACUACAGAUUACUAUGUCAACCCACCUCUUUGAGGGUUUCCCUCCUUUUCACUGUUGUUCUUCUUUACCAACCAUGAUGUCCUUUUCUAAUGAUUGAUCUUUCCUGACAACGUGCCCAAAGUAAGUGAGCAGAAGUCCUUGCUUCUAAGGAGCAUUCUAAGGAGUUUGUAUUUCCUUUAAGACUGGUUUGCUGGUUCUUUUGGCAGUCCAUAGAAUAUUCAGUAUUCUUUGCCAACACCACAGGUUAAAUGAACCGAUUCGUCUUCUGUUUUUCUUCUUCACUGUCCAGCUUUCACGUGCAUCUUAUGAAGCUGGGGAACUCCACAAAUUAGUCUUCUACUUGGAACAAAGAAUACCUUGCUGGGAAGUGCAAAUGUUUGACCCAGCCUGGCUGCAAGGGAUCAUGGGAAAUAUGGUUCCUAGCUUUCCAGAGAGUCAAACAACAGAGAAGUCAGAAUGGAGGCUGAAUGAACCAUGAACAGUAUUGGCCACCACUGGCAUCUCUGCUCUGACCCCUUACUGAAAAAUAUGAAGAAGGUAUUAGAACUCUUUUAGAGUUGAAGCUCAGAGGUUAAAUAACUUAUCCCAGGCCACUGGUGGGGCAGAGAUUUGAAGCUGGAUCUUGCUGACUCCACAGUCAGUGCUCUUUCUGUUUUAUGCUACCCUUCAAGACUCACCUCUGUCCUGACCUCUCUUGGAAAGGCUGACCCACUCCUUCCAGACGCAAAGGUAGUUUAGACACCCUUUGCUGGGCUUCCUUAAUGCCCUGGGUAGAUAUCUCUGUGGUAGCCUCUACUAUGCUAUGUUCCUAUUUGUAGUUAGACACAUGCUUCUCCUAUUUGACCAUGAGACCUUUGAGCAGAGUCUUAUAUAUCCUGGUAUUCCCAAAUAUUUAAUAUUUUAUGAAGAUUAAAUGAGAAUUCAAAGCUCUUUUAGCACAGUGUCCACUGCAUAGAAACUGUUAGUGUUAUUGUUGUUCUCCAUCAAAAAAAAUAAAUAAAUAAAUGAAAUCCGUUGCUGUCAAGUCAAUUCCAACUCACAGCGACCCUGUAGGACAGUGUAGAACUGCCCCAUAGGGUUUCCAAUACUGCAAUCUUUACAGAAGCAGGCUGCCACAUCUUUCUUCUGUGGAGCGGUUGGUGGGUUUGAGCUGCCAACCUUUUGGUUAGUAGCCAGUCACUUUAACCACUGUGUGACCAGGACUCCAGUAUCCCUUUAACCCAGUGCCAUCGAGUUGAUUCCAACUCAUAGCGACCCUAUAGGACAGAGUAGAACUGCCCCAUAGAGUUUCCAAGGAGCACCUGGCGGAUUCGAACUGCUGACCCUUGGGUUAGCAGCCGUAGCCUACCAAAUGGUAAACAACUGAGCUGCUAACUAAAAGGUUGGAGAUUUGAGUCCAUCCAGAAGCAUCUUGAAAGAAAGGCCAGGUGAUGUGUUUCCAAAAAUUCAGCCACUGAAAACCCUAUGGAGGACUAUCCUAUUCUGACAUACAUGGGGUAACCAUGAGUUGGGGGUCAACUCAAUGGCAACUAACAACAUCAACAGAUGCUUAAUAACAAUUUAAUCAGUGAAUGAAUGAAUGUUGUUGUUGUUGAGUCAGUUCCAACUCAUAGUAACCGUAUGUACAACAGAAAGAAACACUGCCCAGUCCUAUGCCAUCUUCACAAUUGUUGCUGUUGUGCCCAUUGUUGCAACCACUGUGUCAAUACAUCUCAUUGAGAGUCAAACCUCUUUUUUGCUGACCCUAUACUUUACCAAGCAUGAUGUCCUUCUCCAGGGCAGGUCCCUCUUUAUAACAUGUCCAAAGUGUGUAAGACAAAGGCACCCUCCUCACUUCUAAGGAGCACUCUGGCAGUACUUCUUCCAAGGCAAAUUUGUUUGUUCUUCUUGUAGUCUGUAGUAUAUUCCAUAUUUUUUGCCAGCACCAUAAUUCAAAGCCAUGAAUUCUUCUUCAGUCUCUCUUAUUCAUUGUUCAGCUUUCCCAUGCAUAUAAGAUGAUGGAAAAUAUCCUGGCUUGGGUCAGUGCACCUUGGCCCUCAAGGUGACAUCUUUGCUUUUGAAUACUCUAAAGGGGUCUUGUGCAGCAGAUUUGCCCAAUGCAAUAUGUCAUUUGAUUUCUUGACUCCUGCAUCCAUGGGUGUUGAUCAUGGAUACAAGUAAAAUGAAAUCCUUGACAACAUCAAUCUUUUCUACAUUAUCAUGAUGUUGCUUACUGGUCCAGUUGUAAUGAUUUUUAUUGACAGACUAAUGGUGGCAUGAAUGAGUGAGCCCCAUGGAAUUAAUGACUGAUAAAUACUAUCUGUUGUCCAUCUCAGAAAUGUUUACGUUUAUAAUAAAAGAUAUUUUCUUACUUAAAAAGGCAAAAGUUACAAUGAUGGAAUAUCAGGUCCUAGGACGAAGCCCAUACUUUAGGUAGGGGUCUUCCCAGAGUCACUUCAAUCAUACACAGUCAGGGUGACCCAAACUUAAGGCUCCCUCUGCUUCCAGCCCUAUAUUAAUUUUUUAAUUGUACCGCCAUGAGAGAAGCCAUUUGCCUGGUAGUGCUUACUAAGAAAUCCAUGUCCACAAGGCUUCCAACUUCGUUGGCUCGUGGAAUGUCCAUAGCUGACCUCAACUAUCACCCACCAAACCCGACCUACACACUUUUCUUAUUAUUAUAAAAUGUUUCACACAUACACAAAGUAGAGAGCAGAGUGUGAUGAGGCCUCUUGUUCACAGCACCCAAAUUUGACAACUAUCUGUAUUUUGCCAAUUUUGGUAAACCAAGAUUCUUUACUCAGGGUUGACCCAGCCUCUUCUGUGGCUUUGCUUUGCUCAAUUCCUGUUCUCUGUUUUGUGAACCUCAUCUCCUGACUUAACAGACCUCUUGACCCGAUGAUUAAUUACAUGGCUAUGCAGACUCCUCCCACCUCAACUUUCUCUCAAAUACCUGAAAUAGGCUCUAUUUUGACCAUGGUUCCAUCUCCCCAACCCCACCUUUCUCAUCUGUUGAUAAAAUGGAACAGUUAGACCAGAUGAUCCCUUUCUGCAACAAAAUUCUAUGAUUCUUGAAUUCUCUGUUUUUGGCUUUUGGCUCAGGAACAGUACUGGCUAUAAGAAUUCUUUUUAAUUGGAUUCCUGGGUAUGAGGACUGGUUCUUUGUGAUUAAUACUCCUUCCCUACGUUCCCCAUGCUGGGGGCCUCUACCAAUAACACCAAGCAGCCCCCUCUUGGGAACCUUGGUGGUGAGUGGUUAACAGCUGUGGCUGCUAACUAAAAGGACGGCAGUUCAACUUCACCAGGCGCUUCUUGGGAACUUUAAGGGGCCGUUCUACUCUGCCCUAUAGGGUUGCUAUGAGUCAGAAUUGACUUGACCGCAAUUUUUUUUUUUUUUUAGUCUUCUCUUGGUCCCUUUUCUGCUUCAAAAACACCCUGUGCCCAUCCUUACUGCAGUAUUUACCACCUGCAUUUUCAUUCACAUAUGUUGCCCACCAGGGGCACCUAGGCAAUUGUUCCUACGUCUCUGCCAGCUGCUUAAAUCUUGGGAAGCUGAAUUCUCUUUUAGAGUUCUGACAAUAGGUAAUAAGGACACAUAAUGUGAUGCUUCUCCCUAACCUAGGCUCAAAAAGUAGGGUAAGCAUAGAGAAAUUUUCUCAGCACAGACCAAAAACCCUGCCUUACAACAAAUGAUAUACAGCAGUGAGCACUUGACCUGGACAUGCACUGGUCCAACCGCAUGCUACACCACCCGGAGGGUCAGCUUUUUGAAUGCACAGAUGAGCUACCAGAUUAGAGAUGAUACCUUGUGAGGAUGGGUGCCAUCUUCCAGGACAUAGUGUGCUCCCUAAAAUGAUGACCAUUAUGUGGCACCUUGUUGCCAGUAGUUAGAAUACAUGGGUCUGGGGACCAACAGAGAGAAGUAGGAGUGACUUCACUUUCCACUACAUUCAGUGGCCCACUGGGGAAUUAGUGCUUCCAGUCCCCACACUCUAGGCUUAUCGGUCUACAGCUUGGCUCCCAGGGAGGGAACAUUUCCACCAGAGGACAUCAAAAGAAUUCCAUUAAAUGGUGCUGCCAACCAGUGACUUCAAGCUCCUUGGACCAAGAGAUCACCAGGCAAAGAAAGGAGCCACUAUACUGGCAAGGAUAAUUGAACCUGGUUCUUAGGAGCAGGUAGGGUUGAUGUUACACAGUAGGGAGACCUAGGUGAUCCACUAGGAUGACUCUUGAUAUGCCUCUACCCAAUUUUGAUGGUAAAUGGACAAGUACUGCAGCUAUGGCCUGAGAAGGGUGUGGUGACCAUGGGCUCAGGCCCUUUAGGGUGAUCACUGUAUUCAUUUCCUGGGGUUGCUGUAAAAAGGUACCACAAAUUGGGUGCCUUAUAAGAAUAGAAAUUUAUUGUCUCACUGUUCUGGAGACUGGGAGUCCAAGAUCAGGGUGUCUGCCAUGUUGAUUCCUUCUGAGGCUUUGAAGGAGAAUCUAUUUCAUGCCUCUCUCCUAGCUUCUAAUAGCCCCAGGUGUUCCUUAGCUUACAGCUGCAUUAUCACAUGGCAUCCUUCCUCUGUCUCUAUGUCUCUGUGUCUCUCCUCCUCUUUUAUAAGGACGCCAGCUAUAUAGAAUUAGGAUCCACCCAACUUGAGUAUGACCUCAUGAUAACCUAACUGAUAACAUCAUCAAAGACCCUAUUUCCAAACAGAGUCACAUUCACAGUUACAGAGGUUAGAACUUGCAACAAAACUUUUUUGGAGACACAAUUCAAUCCAUAACACUCAUAUAGACCAGCAGAGGUGCUGGAAGAGGUGAAGGGAAUCUAGAAUGGAUAAUAAAACACAGACAUAUUCAUAGUGGAUCCGGGUUCUUAACCAACCAAAUAGCCUAUAGCAGACCAUGUCAGUGACUGCCAUAAGCCACUGGAUCCUUUGCCAUUUUCCUGCACACUGGCACUCAUACCUGCAUCUCUUUGUCAGAGGGCUGCCCUCAGGCUGCCUGAGCCUGCAGGGCCAGUACCCAGAAAGAACCAGAAGUACGUGGGUUCAGUUCUUCUUAUCCCAUGCCUGAUGUGGGCAGAGGUAUUAACACUCCAGCUCUUCAAUAGCUGAUCAGGACAGCUGGGAAGCUUGGCCUACAUCUCUCCAGAUCAUUCUGGGGACUGAGACAGGUGCCCCCCAUAAAGUGUAGUUGAUAUCAUACUCUUGCCUAUGCUCCUUUUCUUCCCUUUCUCAGCACUUCCUAAUAAACCAUUGUCUCAAGAAUCCUUCUUGAAGCUGAUCUAAGCACUUGAGCAACUGGCUGGGCCUCCAGCCCCAGGUCAUUAAGAAGUAGUAGCCAAACUGGACAUUUUUCAUUUUUCAUGAUGCAUUGCUCCACAUCUUUCCUUGCUUCACUUCUCUUGUUCCUCACUUUUCCUAUUCUGGGUUUGAAUCUCCCAAAUAACGUGUCAGCCUGUUAAUCCUUGCCUCAGACUGUUUUCUUCAGAAUCUUGGCCAAGUCACACUGGCUUUCCAGAGCAAAGCGGAGAAAGGAGUUUCCCUGGUGAUGGAAGGGGCCAUAUAUCUGAUGGUACCAGUAGUUGGUAUACGCAUCAUAGAUAGGAACGUAUCAGUUUGUCAAGAUAAUUGACUUCCCCGAACAGUUGCUAAAGACAGGAUGUUCCUAACCUCAGGGCAAUGCAAGGGCCUCAUAACCAAGACAGAAAUGGAUUGCUUGUUAACCUCACAAGGGAAAAUAACAAGAAGAAAUCACAAACAGCACAGACCCCUUCCUGCCUGGCACCUGAGGCCCUGAGAGGUUAAGUAAUUUGCCCAAGUCUCAAGGAACUGUGAGUAGCAGAGCCAGGGUUCAAACCUGUGCAGCCUGGCAUGGGGUCGUGGACCUCACCCCAGUGCAACCAGCCUCUGGGAAUCUCGGUAACUAGCAGCAUGUGACUGCACUUUGCAAAGGACUCUCACACAUAUGCUUGCGUAUUAUCUCCUAUGAAGGAGCUGGGGGAGGGUGUUAAUAUCCCAUAAUAUAAUUAAGAGAACUGAGGCUCCAAGAGUUUAAGUAAGCUGCCCCAAUGGAAAAGUCAGGACUCAAACUGAGAUACUCGAAUUCUAGCCCAGACCACACUGCCUGCCUAGAUCAUUGAAUUUGACCUACCUCUUUAAAGCCAGUGGGAUAGGCUCACCUACCUGGAACAUUCUGGGGGUCCAGGUCAGCACUGAUUGAAGGCCCCAAACUCCCAUAAAUGGAUCAAACCUCAGAGUUAGUCCUGGAGCAGGGAUUAUUGUCAAAAAUCAACUACCACUAGCAGAGACUCAAAUCUGCUCUGGUCUUAUAAGGCUGUGGGCCUAUCAGCAGUCAGGCCUUCUGAGGAAUACGGAGUCCAGGAUAACAACACAGUUGUGAUCGCAGGCUCUGGAUGUGAAUUCCAGCUGUACAAUGGGCCAGUUUCUACAGCUGUAAACUGGAACGGAAGAGCCUGGGUGCUCUGACCCACCAAAUGGUGAACAGUUCCUUCCGUGAACAGGUUUCCUGGCUCCAGCUCCUGUGUCUCUCUGUCUGAGAGCACUCCCUGGCCGCCAGAACCUACUCAGUCAGCAGGCAGGACUAGCCAGAACUGCUGGUGUGUUAACACUCCCCUCGCAUCAAAUGACUUUCAACUAAUGAAGGUUGAGAGUUGGUGGAUAAACACACCAGCAUCCUCACUUCUCAGUGGGACAACUUUGAGGCAUUCUACAGCCUCUCAGAGAUGCUUCAACAAGAUUGAGCCCCAGUUGUCCACAACAGUAAAAAAACCAGUUGCCAUCGAGUUGAUUCUGACUCAUGGCGAUGCCACGUGUGUCAGAGUAUAACUGUGCUCCAUAGGGCUUUCAGUGACUGAUUUCUCAGAAGUAGAUCUCCAGGUCUUUCUUUUGAAGUGCCUCUGGGUGGACUGGAGCCUCCAGUCUUUCAGAGGGCAGUACUGACCUCACUUUUUCCUGGCUUCUUCUCUCCCCUGAAUCACUUCCAACCGUUGCCUCAGGGUGUGUUUUGGAGGAAUCCAGGUUAAAACAACUCCAUGUAUUUGUUAGGAGGAACAAACAAGACAAUGUACUUAGCAUUACCCCUGGCUUAGAGUUAAGUGUUCAGUAAAUUCCAGCUAUCAUCAUCAUCAUCUUCGUCAUCAUUACUAUCUUGCAGAGUGAGCUGAGGCUGGCCCUGUUCAAGGUCCUAAAAGAGGCGGCACAGACACAUCAGGUUACCCCUUCUAGCUCUUCCCUCACGUACUCAGGAGAAUACUGAGUAACCCGUUGCCAUCAAGUCAAUUCCAGCUCGUGGUAACCCCACAUAUUACAGAGUAGAACUGUGCUCCCUAAGGUUUUCUUGGCUGUAAUAUUUACCAGUUGACACAGUGGCUGCAACAACGGGCUCAAGCAUAACAACAAUUGUGAGGAUGGCACAGGACGGAGCACUGUUCUGUUCUGCUGUAUAUGGGGUCACUAUGAGUUGGAAAUGAUUCCAGAUGGCACCUAACAACAACAACAAUAUUUACCGAAACAGUUCAAAGUUUUCUUCCAUGGUGCUGCUGGGUAAGUUCAAAUCACCAACUGUUAGGUUAGCAAUAGAUCACAAAUCACUUGUGCCACCCAGGGACCUAAAAUGUCUAUUAAACAAGAAGUCAAUUUGCUAUGGAAUCCCUGAGUGGUGCAAACGGUUAACACACUCAGCUGCUAACGGACAGGUGGGUUCAAGUCCACCCAGUGGCACCUUGGAAGAAAGGCUUGGUGAUCUACUUUCAAUCAGCCACUGAAAACCCUGUGGAACACAGUUCUACUCUGACACACAUGAGGUCACCAUGAGUCAGAAUCAACUCAAUGGCAACUGGAUACUAGUUUAAAUUUGCUAUUAAUAUUGUUGUUACUAUCAUUAAUAUUAAUAAUUUGAUAAUAAUAUCAAUGGCUAUCAUUUACUGAGUGCCUAUUCUGCAGCUAGGUAGUGUGCUAGUUGCUUUGUAUCAUUGUACCACAAUAUUGUCUCAAUGGCUUCCCCAGAUUACAAUAAUCAUAAGCAUAAUUAUAACCCUAUUAAUAAACAACAUAUGUUGAACUUUCACUAUAAACUAGGAAUCUUCUAAGUGCUCUACAUCCAUUUAUAUGUGGUAAUAUAGUAGUUUCCUAUUUUACAGGUAAGAAAGUAGGCUCAGAGAGGGGCAGUGACUUGCCCUUAGACACACAUUUAUGUACAAAGUGGAAUCAGGGUCAAAACCCAGACCUGGCUGACUUCAGAGAUCUUGCUAUUUCUACUUGACCACAAUUUUCUCAUCCUCACUGGAACUAUAUAUCUGGAGCUGUUCCUUGAUGGACUGUAUAUCUGUGAGAUUUAAACUUUUCUGCAUGAGAAAACAUUGUCCCCCACAGGAGCUGGAAAAGAAGGCUACCACUUAGCCCUAACAAGCAAAGCUUGCAAUAAAUCUAACCCUGAGAAAAUAAUUUUAAAGAACAAGAAGACAUGAGUCAUAACCCAAAAUAGCCAGAAUAUGGCACGAGAGCUUACUCAAGCCAAAACAUCCUCACUGUUAAUCCAACAGAUGCAAGGACUUCAUUUCAGCCGCAGCCAAUGUAGUAUGUAAGUAGUGAGUGAGAAGCUCACUACAUAUAUACUCCAUUGAAUACAAUGACUCAUGACGACCCCACGUGUGUCAGAGUUGAACUGUGUCCACGGGGUUUUCAAUGGCUGAUUUUUCAGAAGUAGAUCACCAGGCAUUUCCUUCCGAGGCAUCUCUGGGCAGAUUCAAACCUUCAUGCUUUUUAUUCUCAGCCAAACAUACUAACUGUUUACACCGCCCAAGAACACUGCAAUUUGGGAAGUCUGAAGAAAAAUGAACAUCCCCAGACACAGUAAAUUGACUUUUCUAAUGAGUAAGGGAUGUAUGUGUCUAUUUAAUUAAUUCUAAUAGUAUUCUACCUUAAGAAAAAUUAUGCUUAAUAAGUUCUGCUAAUGUUGUAAAAAUUCUUAGACAAUAAAAGUUAGUCUUUUCUUAUCAUCUACGUUAUUAUAUUACAAAAUAAUUCACUGUUUUCCAAAUUAAGAUUACACAUUAUCCCAAAACAUUCUUAAUAUCUGCAAUUACAGUAAGAAAACUGAGCCAUUUACCAAUUCUUUGGGCUAUAAGAAACGGGAUUUGAUAGAGUUUUCCUACCUCAUUAUUACAUUUAAUCAUAAUAGCUCAUAUUUUCCAAGGGCAUGUUAUUUUCCAGGAACUGAACUAAGUACUUUACAUUAGUUCAUUUAAUUUUUUUAAUAACCUGAAGAGAAAAGUGCUAUUACUGUCUUCAUUUUACAGAAAAGGGAACGACUGGUAAGAGAGGCUAAAAUCUUGCACAAUAUCACUCAGCUAGUUUGUAGGGGAAUCAAGACCCAAGUCCGUGAUUAAUCAAUGUAUCAUACCUUGAAAAGAUUAUUUGCCAAGUGUCCUUUCCAUGAGACCCAAAAUUUUAACUUCCAAAGUGGCUGGAAUCUGGGGGGACAAAAUGACUCAAUGUAUUACUGAGUUCUGAAGAUGAAGAUAAUUUAAUUUCUCUUCUGAGAGUGACGUCUUAAUAAACUGCUCCAGGAAUCUGCUUCUCAAGGGUCACACAAAGACCUCACUCUUCAUCACUGUGGUUUACAGAUAAGCUGCCUUCCAGUCAGACUGUGAAAGCCCUCACAAGGAAGUGAAACAAGAAGUUAAAAAUGCAUUCUCUUUCCAAAGACCCAAAGUCAGGAUUCACUGUCACAGUAUAUUACAAAUAACCAGCCUCACCCAGUGACUCUGAGCUGACUUGGUGAUCCGAGGUGACUUUGAAUUUGGUAGGAGCCGAGAAAUUGACUCUAACAAACACCAUGAUCUCCCUAGUUCAUCUGGGACAAGCAAGUAUCCUUGAAAAGUGAAACAAAACCUUAAAAUGAAGGUUCAAGGUACAGCCUUCAGUAUGGAUUACACCUCAACAUAGAAAAAAAAUUAAAAAAAAAAAUGAUCUCCCUAGUUCAUCUGGGACAAGCAAGUAUCCUUGAAAAGUGAAACAAAACCUUAAAAUGAAGGUUCAAGGUACAGCCUUCAGUAUGGAUUACACCUCAACAUAGAGAAAA